rnacentral:rRNA from 1 species
GACGAACGCUGGCGGCGUGCUUAACACAUGCAAGUCGAACGGGUCUGCCCUGUUUUUUGCGGGGUGGGUCAGUGGCGAACGGGUGAGUAACACGUGAGUAACCUGCCCCUCACUUCUGGAUAACCGCUUGAAAGGGUGGCUAAUACGGGGUGUUCUGGCUGUGCCGCAUGGUGUGGCUGGGAAAGAUUCACUUUUGUGGUGUUUUGGUGGGGGAUGGGCUCGCGGCCUAUCAGCUUGUUGGUGGGGUGAUGGCCUGCCAAGGCUUUGACGGGUAGCCGGCCUGGGAGGGUGGGCGGUCACACUGGGGCUGAGCUACGGCCCAGACUCCGGCGGGAGGCAGCAGUGGGGGGUAUUGCACAAUGGGCGGAAGCCUGAUGCAGCGACGUCGCGUGAGGGAUGGAGGCCUGCGGGUUGUGAACCUCUUUCGCCGGUGAAGAAGGUCCUGCUCUUUGUGGUGGGGUUGACGGUAGCCGGGUUAUGAAGCGCCGGCUAACUACGUG